CCGAGGACGAAGAAAGGACCCCAUCAGGUGCUCUUUGAUUCCUCUUGAGUAGGAAAAUUCUGCAUCUCAGAACCUGCUAUCCAACAGAAAUCCUGGCGGCUCAGGCCAAGGAAGAGGGCCCCGCUUUCAUCCUUUUCUUCAUUAUUCUUCUCUUUGGGAGGAGAAGCCAUUUUGGAGUGCGCAAAGGCUUGAUAAACCUAACCACGCAUUCUCCCGUUCAUUCUCCAAACCCUACGUGGGGUCCUCAGCUAACCUUGGUGCUCUUGAUCUUGCAUAUCCAUUAACAUAUCGAAAUGCCAUUCCGUUUUCUAAGUCUCCAGCUUCCUUUCCAAGCUCUAUUAAGAUCCCCUCUCGCACCCCCUUCAGUCCAAAAAGUAGCUAUAGAGCUAAGCGCAACACACAGGCAAGGCGUAGGUUCUUCUCAAAGUCGUCAAGAUCUACAAGGUAUCAGUCCAAGAAGCGUCGAAGAGGCCUUGAUCAAAUUUGGAAACGGUCCCAAAAUCAUCAAAUCAAUCUCAUCUUCCUCAUUCAGAUACGUCUACGUAGGGGAUCCCUUGUAAACCUAUCAAAGCAAAGCGAGUGUAAAGUCACCUUCUCGGAAGAUACCCUGCAAAUUCAGACUCCUUAUUAUCGAGAGAAAGCAAUUAUUUAUAAGUUCUGGAAUUUCAUUCCUAAUAAAAAUGCUUUAUUUAAGUGGGUUUCAGAGCAUUGGGCGGGUGUCAUUGACCUCUUCUUCAUAGAUCAAGGCAUGGGUUUCUUCAUUUGUGUUUUUUCCUCGAAAAAAAUUAGGGAUGCAGUGUAUAAGAUUAAAUCCUGGAUCCUAGAUUCCUCAAGGCUUUUCAUCCAGCCUUGCACUCCAAACUUCAAUCGCAAAAAUACUACUAUAAAAUUUAUUCCCUUCUAGAUUUAGUUCCCAUCUUUCCCUUUGGAAUAUGGAGAGCUUCAUAUUUUAGAAAUCUUGGCUGAUCAAAUUGGGAUCUUUCUGGAAAAUAAUCUCACCUUCUUUGAGAACCCUAAUCUCCCAGUCAGGUUGUGUGUUAUCUUUCAUAUCUGUAAAGAUUUCCCAAAAAUUUUAAACAUCCAGUCAAAGCAUUGUACUUUGGUAUAGAAAAUCAUCAUUGAAUAUCCAGAAAAUGUUUGUAGCUACUACCAUCUCCUUGGUCAUUUUAACAAAACAUGUUCAGAGUUUCAGUUUUCAGUGGCUCAGGAAUCAGUCCACAAAUUUUGGCCCCCUCGGGAGUCAGAAAUGAUGACUACAGAUCAAAGGGAGACAUUACUUUUCCCGAAAAUAGAGGGGAAAUGGGACUCAAAUCUCCAGCCCCCCUCGAAUCAGUCAUGCAGCUUGACUCUUCUUUUUCCGAAAACAGGGGAAAUGGGACUCAAGUCUCCAAGCCCCCUGGAAUUAGUCAUGCAGCUUGACUCGUAGUUAAUUCAGGUUAUGCAUUCUCCACAUCAAGGGGGCAUCCCUCCCCUUCUCUUUGCAUCUCGCUACACAAGGAUAUUUUUAAGGUCCAGUUUGAGCUCACCUUGCCUCUCUCCAUAACCAAGCAGCCUCUGCAAGCUAUUUAGUCCUAUGUCUCUUUAACAACGAUGCAGCCUAAGAGGUUGAUUUCAGAGGAUUAUUCAGUAAGCCAUCCUCUUCAAGUGAAGAGUAAUAAAUUUAAAUCUAGCCUAUUGUAUCCUCCAAAUUUAGAGAUAUGCCCAAGCUCUGCCUCACUCUUGCUUAGAGUAAAACUAGACCAUCUUGAUAUGUCUCUAGAGCAUGGUUUCAUCAAUCCUCUUUUUGAUUACUUUAUUAACAAUUAUUUAUAAAGUGCAAUUAUAAUGUUUUAAGUUCACUUUAUAUUCAAUGGGGCCAUGACCCUCAAUUAAAUGCCACUUAAAGUACAUUAUUAAUUGCAUAAAAGUGGGGACCCAAGUUGAGGAGAUAAUAUAAAGUUAUUAUGCAAACCCUAAAGUGGAUGUGAAAGUGGAUUUAAAUGCUAUUAAGGAGAUUGAGGUUAAAAAAGGACUCAAAAAGCAAAUGCUUUUUCAUUCUUGAAGAUUAUAAACUUGUCCUUUUUGAUAUGAGAGCUGUGUGUAAAAAUACACAAGGGUUUUAGUCAUUUCUAGCAUUGGAGAUCGAAAACUCUUCAAUGUCUUUGCAAUUAUUUGAGGUUGUGCAAGAUCAAUGAAAUCAUUGCUUGUGGAGGACUUCAUCCAGAAGUUAUAGUUGUGCUCAAAAGAGAAGGAAAUUCAUGUAGGGUUUGAAGAUUAUUGAAGCAUAAUUAGUUGCAGACCUGUAUUCUUCAUUGGCAGCCAUUGUUGAUCAGAUUUCAAGUUUUUCUUACUGUUGCUACAGUAACACAUGAACAGUAAAAUGCUACAGUAACAAGGGUUUUUAAAGGCAGAUUUCUUAAAGAGUAUUUCCAGAUUCUUUGUGGCAGCCAUUGCAAUUAUUACCAGUUGUUAUCGGUGGGUUCAUUCAUAGCUGCUUCAAGGCUUCCUUUCAGCUGGACGUGGUAGUUUCCAGCCACCUUGGUUGCUGAUCAAAAAAUUCCAGACUUAAUGAUUAUUUCCAGAAUUGCUAAAAGUCUUUUACAUUAACUUCUGGAUGGAGAGAGAACAUUAAUUGAUUUCGAUAUGCUUCUCCAAGCAAAUGAAUCAGGUUAUAUGAGAUAAUGGGGGAAGACCAAGAGUUGCCUUGGUCGGUUAUGUUCUUGAUCGGAUCCUAUCAUUACCCCACUGACAUGAUGCUAAUUUACCCGAUAUAAAUCAGUGCCUUUACGUGAUUCAUAUUAAUCGAUUGUUAUCGGUGUUAAUGCAUAACCCGAUAAUAUGUAUCAGUAACUAAGGCAUCCUUAACCGAUUCCCAAUCAGUGGCAGUUAAACAAGCCCGAUAUAUUAAUUGUCUAUAGGUGGGAUCCAUUGAAGGAAGAGUUGCUGUUCGUCACAUAGAGGAUGCAAAGCAAAGUAAGAACUUCAGUUUCAAGUGUCAUAGGGAUGAGAAUAACUGCUAUUCAGUGAACUCUAUUAACUUCCAUCCUAUUCAUCAAACGUUCGCAACAGCAGGAUCUGAUGGAGCCUUCAUUAUCUGGGAUAAAGACAAUAAAAUCAAGCUAAAGGCAAUGGCAAGGAGCAAUCAACCAAUUCCAUGUAGCACAUUUAAUAAUGAUGGUUCUUUAUAUGCUUAUGCGGUAUGUUUUGUGAAGAUCUAACCUUGAUUGAUUUUUUUGUUCGAAUAGAAAUAAUAUCAUACUCAAAACAUUGUUUUGUUUUAUUACAUGCUUGGAUUGCUUUGCUAGGUAUGGGGAGCAACUAUGGUAUAAUGUUGUAGACUUGUCGUCUGUCAAUUACGGACUUUUUGUUCUUGGAAAGCUAGUAUGUUUUUAA